rnacentral:rRNA from 1 species
CACGGGGGGAGCAAGCGUUGUUCGGAAUCACUGGGCGUAAAGGGCGUGUAGGCGGUCAAGUAAGUGGAAUGUGAAAUCCCUCGGCUUACCCGAGGACCUGCAUCCCAAACUGCUUGGCUUGAGUACGGGAGGGGAUGAGGGAAUUCCUGGUGUAGCGGUGAAAUGCGUAGAUAUCAGGAGGAACACCGGUGGCGAAGGCGCUCAUCUGGCCCGAUACUGACGCUGAUGCGCGAAAGCGUGGGGAGCGAACAGG